AUUGAACGCUGGCGGCAUGCCUUACACAUGCAAGUCGAACGGUAACAGGUCUUCGGAUGCUGACGAGUGGCGAACGGGUGAGUAAUACAUCGGAACGUGCCUAGUAGUGGGGGAUAACUACUCGAAAGAGUGGCUAAUACCGCAUGAGAUCUACGGAUGAAAGCAGGGGAUCGCAAGGCCUUGUGCUACUAGAGCGGCCGAUGGCAGAUUAGGUAGUUGGUGGGAUAAAAGCUUACCAAGCCGACGAUCUGUAGCUGGUCUGAGAGGACGAUCAGCCACACUGGGACUGAGACACGGCCCAGACUCCUACGGGAGGCAGCAGUGGGGGAUUUUGGACAAUGGGCGCAAGCCUGAUCCAGCAAUGCCGCGUGCAGGAUGAAGGCCUUCGGGUUGUAAACUGCUUUUGUACGGAACGAAAAGCCCUGGGUUAAUACCCUGGGGUCAUGGCGGUACCGUAAGAAUAAGCACCGGCUAACUACGUGCCAGCAGCCGCGGUAAAAC
rnacentral:rRNA from 1 species